GAUGAUCGGUGCUUGCACCGAGAUUCAACAUGGAACGAGUGGCGGACGGGUGAGUAACACGUGGGUAACCUGCCCUUAAGUGGGGGAUAACAUUUGGAAACAGAUGCUAAUACCGCAUAGAUCCAAGAACCGCAUGGUUCUUGGCUGAAAGAUGGCGUAAGCUAUCGCUUUUGGAUGGACCCGCGGCGUAUUAGCUAGUUGGUGAGGUAAUGGCUCACCAAGGCGAUGAUACGUAGCCGAACUGAGAGGUUGAUCGGCCACAUUGGGACUGAGACACGGCCCAAACUCCUACGGGAGGCAGCAGUAGGGAAUCUUCCACAAUGGACGCAAGUCUGAUGGAGCAACGCCGCGUGAGUGAAGAAGGCUUUCGGGCCGUAAAACUCUGUUGUUGGAGAAGAAUGGUCGGCAGAGUAACUGUUGCCGGCGUGACGGUAUCCAACCAGAAAGCCACGGCUAACUACGUGCCAGCAGCCACGGUAAUACGUAGGUGGCAAGCGUUAUCCGGAUUUAUUGGGCGUAAAGCGAGCGCAGGCGGUUUUUUAAGUCUGAUGUGAAAGCCCUCGGCUUAACCGAGGAAGCGCAUCGGAAACUGGGAAACUUGAGUGCAGAAGAGGACAGUGGAACUCCAUGUGUAGCGGUGAAAUGCGUAGAUAUAUGGAAGAACACCAGUGGCGAAGGCGGCUGUCUGGUCUGUAACUGACGCUGAGGCUCGAAAGCAUGGGU
rnacentral:rRNA from 1 species